rnacentral:rRNA from 1 species
UACGUAGGGUGCAAGCGUUUAAUCGGAAUUACUGGGCGUAAAGCGUACGCAGGCGGCUUUGCAAGACAGGUGUGAAAUCCCCCGGGCCUAACCUGGGAACUGCAUUUGUGACUGCAUGGCUAGAGUUUGUCAGAGGGGGGUGGAAUUCCACGUGUAGCAGUGAAAUGCGUAGAUAUGUGGAGGAACACCGAUGGCGAAGGCAGCCCCCUGGGAUGUGACUGACGCUCAUGUACGAAAGCGUGGGGAGCAAACAGG